rnacentral:rRNA from 1 species
CAGCCGCCGCGGUAAUACGUAGGUGGCAAGCGUUGUCCGGAAUUAUUGGGCGUAAAGGGCUCGCAGGCGGUUCCUUAAGUCUGAUGUGAAAGCCCCCGGCUCAACCGGGGAGGGUCAUUGGAAACUGGGAAACUUGAGUGCAGAAGAGGAGAGUGGAAUUCCACGUGUAGCGGUGAAAUGCGUAGAGAUAUGGAGGAACACCAGUGGCGAAGGCGACUCUCUGGUCUGUAACUGACGCUGAGGAGCGAAAGCGUGGGGAGCGAACAGGAUUAGAUACCCCUGUAGUCCCUGUCUCUUAUAC